GAUUCCUGGGACUUGCAGAAACGUGCGAAGGUCUCUGAAGGCCUGGCCCCGGUCUGUGGAGCAAAUCCAGCUGCCUGAGCUAGCUCCCUGACCCGGGUGUUGAAUCCCUGCAGCUGCUCCUGCCGCACGUCCACCAGUCCCAGCCUCGCCGCGCACCUUGACUGGCUGGCCGUUGCUCGUCCGCAGGAGGCUCUCGUCGUCCGCUUCGAUGCCGAAGGCCACGAAGGGCCCCGUGGCGAUGUCCCCCCAGUACCCGCGCGCUGCCACGCGCUCCCCACGCUGGAAAAGGAGGGAGAGAGGAGGCAGAUGGAGGUUUUGCUUUUGUCGCCCAGGCUGGAGUGCAGUGGUGUGAUCUCGGCUCACUGCAACCUCUGCCUCCCGGGUUCAAGUGAUUCUCCUGCUUCAGCCUCCCGAGUAGCUGGGACUACAGGCGCCUGCCACCACACCCGGCUAAUUGUUGUAUGUUUAGUAGAGACGGGGUUUCACCAUGUUGAGCAGGAUGGUCUCGAUCUCCUGACCUCGUGAUCUGCCCACCUCAGCCUCCCAAAGUGCUGGGAUUACAGGACUCGGGAAUCUGGGCUCUCAUCUUCAUCCCAGCUCACGUUGAACCUCCUGCGAGGCCAGAACUUCGCUCGGGACAGGGUCCGCAGCAGGUGCCGUCCAUCCACAGAGCCCAGAAGCAGCACAUCUAGCUCGGGGUUGCUGUGCACUGUAUCGGCCUGGGAGUCUGGGUCCACAGGAGGACCUGGCAAGAUGACAGCUGGCUGGGGCACCAUGGUGGUUGGCAGAGCGUCCACCGUAGCAUCCCCUAUAAAAAAUGGACUACAAAUCCCAGUAGGCGUUCCGCCCGUGGCCUAGGUUCUAAGGGGAGGUGUUUCCUCUGAGUAUUCUGGGAUUCGCAGUCCGCAGACAGGACCUCGGGGCUGCCCCUGGGAGCGCGCCCUCUGCCGCUGGAGCGUUGGAGAACGUUAGCGCCCCCCUUGCCACCGACGCUGGGACUACGAGCUCUAAAAGGCCGUCUGCUCAGGCUGGGAAGGCAGACGGUGUAUCAGACCUUGCGUGCUGGGACUCACUUUCAGCCUGCAGGUCCAGCGCCGGGGACAGGCCCCACCAGGACACGGAGCCGAAGCCGCUGCCGGAGCCGGCAGGUGUGGUCAUCACCCUGCGGAAAAGACAUUCUGGGAAUCGCACACAUUGCCCGCCCCGCUCCCCUCUCACCGCCCCUCACUUCUCGCCCCUUUGCCUCCACAUGAUACCUUGCCCACACCUUUAUCCUCCAAAUAUCCCGGGACGCCCCUUCCUCUCUGCUCAGUGCAGCACUGUGGACCCGCGGCACUCCACAACCGCUGCCCAGAGUCCCCGCCCUUUUCGAGGAAUCAAGCAAUGGAAGCAUGUGGGAUGGGACCACAGCGAGCAACUGACCAAUGAGAGUGAGCGAGGCCCGCCCUCUACAAACUUUUGGCCAAUGGGAGCACUGAGGGCCAGCCUUCCCCCACACCUAGGAGAAGAGGGCGUGUGGACGCGGUUGUCAUGACGACGGCGCCGGCGGGGGAAGGGGCGGUGCUAGAACAGGUUGGGGCGGAGUCAGGGUCGGUCCAAAUUUCUGGAAUGGGGGAGGCCUGGGCUGAUUAAAAUUGAGAGUGAAGGGA